GUGCUAGCCGCCGCGGUAAUACCGGCAGCCCGAGUGAUGGCCGAUCUUAUUGGGCCUAAAGCGUCCGUAGCUGGCUGCGCAAGUCCGUCGGGAAAUCCAUCAGCCCAACUGAUGGGCGUCCGGCGGAAACUGCACGGCUUGGAGCCGGAAGACUCGAGGGGUACGUCCGGGGUAGGAGUGAAAUCCCGUAAUCCUGGACGGACCACCGGUGGCGAAAGCGCCUCGAGAAGACGGACCCGACGGUGAGGAACGAAAGCCAGGGUCUCGAACCAGAUUAGAUACCCUUGUAGUCC
rnacentral:rRNA from 1 species